rnacentral:rRNA from 1 species
CUACAAUGGCCGGUACAAAGAGAAGCGAGGCUGUGAAGCGGAGCAAAUCUCAAAAACCGGUCCCAGUUCGGAUUGUAGGCUGCAACUCGCCUACAUGAAGUCGGAGUUGCUAGUAAUCGCGGAUCAGAAUGCCGCGGUGAAUGCGUUCCCGGGUCUUGUACACACCGCCCGUCACACCAUGGAAGUUGGGGGCGCCCGAAGUUGCCUAAGAAAUAAGGUACCUAAGGCGAAACCAAUGACUGGGGUGAAGUCGUAACAAGGUACC